CAGUUUCCAUAAAUUCCAACAAAAGGCAUGUUUAAAAGUGCUGACCGAUAUUAUAAAUGUGACAAAAUCUAUGAUUUUUACCCUAGGGUUUUCAUCAACUCCUUUUCCAGUUUUUGAUUAUAUACUGUUUCUUGAUUGACGUUUAUAUUGCUCCUUGAGGUGGUAGGUUAUUUGGUGUCCAUUUUAUGAGGGCAUUUACACCGAUUGACAUUUUAGAAAAUUUUCAGGUGCGCACAUGUGUCAUGCAUGAUGCAUGUGACAGUCGGAGGACACCUUUACAUGGGCUUUGGGAAUUGGACUCAGAUCAUUAGGGAGAGGAGAGGAGUUCCAUUGUGAAAUCGGCAUCCAGGUGGUUAGGUGCAGAUACGCCAUUGCUGGAGAGAGCAGCUGGCAGGAGACCUUGCUUUAUCAUUCACGGAGGAGGACACAGGGGACAGAGUGAUGGGCAGCGCCGCAACCAAAAUGACAGCAGCAGGAGCAGCGUCACGAGUAUCUAAACCUUUCCAUCUUCUUCGUGACAGAAGAUCAGGGAAAACAGCUCUGAAGCACUGGCAGAACGUUCAUGAAGAAGACAUGGCCAUAGGACUGCAGAAACCAGAAAAGGGGUGUGAGCUA